CGCUCCUUGUAUUAAAAAAAUAAGGAGUUGAACCUGCCCAGUGAAAAUUUUUAACGGCCGCGGUACUCUGACCGUGCAAAGGUAGCAUAAUCAUUUGCCUUAUAAUUGAAGGCUAGUAUGAAUGGUUUGACGAGGGCAAUGCUGUCUCUAUCUUAAUAAAUAGAACUUGACAUAUAGGUGAAGAGGCCUAUCUAAUAUUGAAGGACAAGAAGACCCUGUCGAGCUUAAAGUGUUAUAUAGAUAUAGAUAUUCUUCAAAAUAAAAUUCUUUUACACACUUUUAGUUGGGGCGACUAGGGAACAAACAAAGCUUCCCUUAAAGGAAAAACGGACUAGUUAUGAUCCAGCACUGGCUGAUCGAAGGAAUUAGUUACCGCAGGGAUAACAGCAUAAUCUCUCUUGAGAGGCCUAAUCGAAAGAGGGGGUUGUGACCUCGAUGUUGGACUAGAAUAUCCUGAAGGUGCAGAAGUCUUCGUGGGUUGGUCUGUUCGACCAUUAAAAUUCU
rnacentral:rRNA from 1 species